rnacentral:rRNA from 1 species
AUUCCAGCUCCAAUAGCGUAUAUUAAAGUUGCUGCAGUUAAAAAGCUCGUAGUUGGAUUUGUGGCGCGGUCGUCCGGCGGGGCUCCUUCAUUGGGGCCGUUUGUCUGGUUUUUCGACCGCACCAUUCUCGGGUAGUGUGUCGCUGGCAUUAGGUUGUCGGCUUCUUCACGCCCGUCGUUUACUGUGAAAAAAUUAGAGUGUUCAAAGCAGGCUUAGGCCGUUGGAUACAUUAGCAUGGAAUAAUGAGAUAGGGCCACGACGGUCUAUUUUGUUGGUUUGCACGUUGUGGUAAUGAUUAACAGGAACGGUUGGGGGUAUUCGUAUUCAAUUGUCAGAGGUGAAAUUCUUGGAUUUAUGGAAGACGAACUACUGCGAAAGCAUUUACCAAGGAUGUUUUCAUCA